AAAAUGAUAUUUUUUAAUCCCUGAUUUGUGCAUUUGAACAAUUUGUAAACGUGUCGAGUCCUCAGGAGGGAACUAACUCAAGCCUCUUGUUCUGCAGCUGAGGCUCGCUGCCCCCGGUGGGCAGUGAGUCGGUGCGUUCCUGAGGCCAGGGUGUGGCCCAGCCCUGGCCCCCAGAGGAGUGCCAGGGGAGUGUGAGGCCCUCCUAGGCUGACCUUGAAGCAGGCCAGCCUUUCUGAGGAACGAACGUCUUCAGGUGGAAUUACCUCGGUCCGGAGGCAGAUACAGCCUGUUUCUCUUCACUCAAGAAUGUGCUUGGAGAUCAUAAAAGAUAAACACCAUUCCUUAUCACAACACCUUAGUCGCCUGUAAUCUGUACACACUGAAGUUGAGUUCACCACCUUGUUGCUGUCACUAAAGCUCCGGCGGGGCUGGCUUGUGGAAGCAGGUUGCCCUUGGCUCCCAUGUCGCCUGGAUCCAACUUCCCCUAACUGAAAACCGCCUCAUACUCCCCCGGGCCCAUGGCAGCUUCAGAGGACUGAGCCGUAUGCUCUGUGGCGCUGGAGCCUGGGUUUUUCCUCUGUGAAGUGGAGAUGAGAGGGGCCCCCACACCGGCUCGAAGGGAGGCUAAAUGAGAUAAGAGUAGCCCAACACACAUCAGAGAGUUCAUCAGUGCUCGUGGCGUAGACCCGGAGAGGAUGCACGCGUGUAAAGUGUCGCAGGAAAGAAGACAGUCUGGCCUUUGGAGACCCCUCUCCGAAUACAAACAGGAACCUCACCAGGCAGAGACCCCUCUGCCGGCUCCACCGCACACAUCACGUCAGCCAGAGGAAGCCUCUGGCCUGUGAGCUCACAGUAGAUGCAGAAGGCGGCAGCAAAGACGUGCGAGCCCACAUCUGCCUUUAAUAGAGCAAGAAUUCGCACUUCUGCAGCAGCACGAGGGGACCCUGGGGACUGUUGUGGGGAUCAAACGAGAUAAUGUAUGCGAAGGCAUGCUGUGAAUUCUGCGUGCCCAGGGCAGGAGAAUGGAGGCCCCAGAGUGGGUCUAAUGACCCUCUGUCGAUGAAGAUCUUGGCUGUGACUUCUGUGGGAAAUGAGCCAUGGACCAACCGACGUGAGUGAUGAAUGAACGCACUAGAGCUGAUCACCCAUCCUUAGCUGAUGAAGGGCUUACCUCUGUGGGUAAGGAGCAUGGAGGCCGAUAUUCAAUAUACCCCAAUCUGAUUUAUUCAUUACCAAUGAUGAAGAUCUUGGCUGUCACUUCUGUGGAUGAAAAGCAAAGGGACUCAUAGUGAACACAGGACAGCUGAUUUAAUCAUUUAAUAAAGAAUUGUUAUCGCAAGCAAGGAGCAUAAAGUCUAAUAUAAAAUGAACAACUCUACCGUAUUUGAUUAUUAGCCCAUGGCAAAGAUCUUGAGUUUUACCUCUUUGGAUAAAGAGAGAAGAGAUCUGUUCGUUGUCCAAUGAUGAAGACCUUAGCUGUUACUUCUGUAGGUAAGGAGCAAUGAUGAAGACCAUGGCUGCUUUCAUCAGUCUGUUUUGAGGAAGAUCUUGACUGUUACCUUUGUGGAAUGGAUGCACAACGAUUCAAUUAAGGACUAUAGAAACUUACGUAAGUAGCAGUCAAAGUAAUUGCUUCUGGUUUGGUGGUUUGUCAUGGGUGUUAACUCUGUUAUUGGAAGGGAAUAAAUGGCUACAUGUACAAAUUAAAUGAAUGGAGAUCAUGUGUGGGCCAAUUCAGUACAUCUGUGGUCAAUUAAGGAGAAAAAAGAAAGACCAUUUUAUUUAUUUUCACAGUUAAUUAUUCAAUUAAUUAAUUAAUGUACAAUGUAUUAUCAAUUUUAAUUUGAGUCACAGUUGAUUUAAACCUCCCUCUAUAAAGACAUGGUUUUGUCACAUUCAAACAGUAAAAUGGGGUCAAUAUAAAGUAUUGUAUUAAUUAAUCUAUAUAGAAAACAUUGUGGCCAAUUAAUGAAAUAUAUAUAUAUUGUCAGUGGGAAGUAAUCUAUAGAGAAAUGUUAGAGAUAUUCAAGGAUCUUGUUUCAAGUUUUUAUGACCUCCAGGCAUUUAUUUUAUUAUUAUUAGUGAAUUGAUGACUUAAUCAAUAAAAACAUGCAGACAUGAUUGAAGGUAAUGAGGGCCAAUCCUGGACCAAUGGUGAUGCUGGUGGGGUGUGAGUCAUGGAUGAUGAGUACUUGUCUGGAACUCUGAGGUCCAACCCAGUAAGAAAUCUAAUCUAUACCAUACGUCCGUUAGAAAUUAUCCUGUGGACAUGUGUUAGUAAUAUUCAAGGAUCUUGUUCUUAGUUUUUGUUAUGGAAUUUGACUCUGUUAUUACAGGUGGAUCAAUGAAAGAAUCAAUCAGUAAAUACAGUUGACCCUUGAACAACGUGGUGUAACCCCACGCAGUCGAAAGUCCUUGUAAGGCUAUCUCUGCUUUAGAAGCAAAGGAAUUGAUAAAUGACUCACCCAAGGCCAGGAAUCAUAAAUAGUUUGGAUAGAAUCAGGACUCAAACCCUGGUUCUUUUGAUACCGCAUGUUGUGAUCUCUAAUCAAACACAAAUUUUUCCCACACUUAGUUAAUUUAAAGAUCCCUAAAAUGAAAAUACAGGUACUAUAUUUAUUGAAAAAAAUCCAUGUACAAAUGGACCCAUGCAGUUCAAACCCGUGUUGUUCAAGGGUCAACUGUAUACAAAUAAAUAAAGAGGGUGAAGCAUUAUCCAAUUAUGAUAAUGUCAUGAAGUAAGAGAAUCUGUUAAUAUAUGUUAAAAACACUGAUUCAAUUAAGAAGGACAUGAUUUUAUGAUAUUUCUUUGGCUAAUGGUUCUAUAGAAAGUACAAGUAAUAAUUAUUAUUCCUAUUCUGGCUCAGUGGCAAGUUUGAUGUUUUUUUGAGGGAAAUAUCAAUAAAUAUUACCCCCAAUUAAUGAAUACCUAAAUUACUGAUGUAAUCAAAGGUGAAAUACAAGGAUUAAUGAAGAUAAUAUCUCAGUUGUUUUUUUUUUUAAUCUUCUCUGCUUUGUACUUCUUAGAGUGGGCGCACCAAGCCAACUUAAACGUCUUGCAUGAUCGUGAGCUCUAAGUCAUGGAUACAUUGGAGCUGAUUUAAGGAUUCAUCUAAGGUCACAAGAUGUCUGAUUGUCUCUGUGUUUGGCACGUAGAAACAAAUAAUGGACGCACGCUAGUGGAUUUAAGCAUCUUUCAUGGUCACGUGCUCUAUAGACCAAUGUGAGUAAUGCAGUAAGCAAAUUCAUGUCUUUGAGAGCUUCUCUUUUUCCUCAGAUAUUCACUGUAUUGUUAAAAGUGUGGAAUAGAAUUAAUAUUAGUAAUAAUGAGUUAAUCAAUGAACUUAUGCAGAUGAGAAUGAAGAAAUAGAGGCCCAUGUAUGGACCAAUGAUGAUGACUGAUAUCAUGUGAGUCAUGGAUGAUGAAUACUACAUGUCUGAAACUCAGGUUCAGUAAAUAAAAGAAAUAUAAUCUGUUGCCUCUAUUUGGUAUUACACCAUAGACAAAUAUUAGGAAAAUAAAAGAGCAAUUUUCUUGUUUUGUGUUCAUGAAUUUUGAUUUUACUUUAAAAAAAUAGCCCAAAGAAAUAAGUGUAAGUAUAAAUAAGUUAAGAUGAAGAGGUUGAAGCAUAUUCACUCUUAAUAUAUGUGGUAAGGCAAUAAAAACUAUUAAUAUUGAUUGAAAAUACUGAAGUUCAUUUGGAAAUGUAAAUGGUGCAAAUGUCAUACCUCUUUGGCUAAGAAUGGUCUAGAAAAUGAAUAACAGUCGAAGUUCUUAUUCUAUGGUAGUACCAGGUUUGAUAUUGUUCUUUUUUCUAAGAGAAAAAUAAGAAAUAUGACCUGAAUUUAUGAUAUUCCUAAAUGACUGACUAGAUGAAGGUGGAAUGUGUGGAUCAAUAACGAGUAUCUCAAUGUUGUUAUUAUCUCUCCUGCUUUUUACGACUCAGAAUGGAUACACUGGAACCUAUUUACGUAUUUGGCCAUGAUCAGGACCUCCAUGGAUGGCCCUGUGUGUAAGAUCAUGAAGACCAAUGUGAACAACAGAUUCCUCUCAUGGUUUAGGUGGUUUGUCUAGGAUAUUCAGUGUAAUACUAAAAAUUAUUAAAUAUAUUCAAAGAUGGCCAAACAUGGCUUAAUGAUUACCAUGGAAUUGACAUGAAACUUUGUGUUGAUUAAUCGAUAUUUGCCACAAUGAGGAUGAUUAUUGAAAUAAGUACAUUCCAUGAGGCAAAAGAUUCUAUAGGCAGAAGUUAGUAUUUAAGAUCUUGUCCUUGAGUUUUUUGACUCACAGAUAUUUAUUUUAUUAUUAUUAAUGAAUUAAUAAAGUGAUCAGUAAACAAAUGUCGAUGAGAAUAAAGAAAAAGAGUCUAAGCUUGGACCAUUGAUGAUGACUGAUGGCAUAUGAGUCGUAUAUGAUGAAUACUGUGUGUCUGAAACUCUGAGGUCCAGCAAAAGAAAUCUAGUCCAUUUCCUCUGUUGGAAGUGUUCCUAUAGACAGAUGUCAGGAAUAUAUAGGGACCUUGUUUUAUUCUUUGUGGUUCACGAGUUUUUAAAAAUAUUAUUAUAAAAUGUUACUGGCUGAAUAAACAAGUAUAUAAGUGACUAAAGAUGAAGAGGGUUAAGUACUGUUCAUUACUUAAAUACAUAGUAAAGAGAAAUAAUAUAAGUUAGAAUGGAUAAUUAACAGAUCAAGUAUAUUAUGCAUUUUUGAGUAAGGAUGAUAUAGACAGUGAUACGUAAUAGUCAAUUAUUGAUCUGAGUCUAUUGCAAGCUUGAUGUUUGUUUUAUUAAGGAAAAAACAAAUAAAUAUUGCCAUAAAUUAAUAAAUACCUAAAUGACUAUGUAUAUGAAUGGUGGAAAGUAUGGAUCAAUGGAGAGAAUAUCAAACUUUUUAUCACCUGCUCUGCUUGGUACUAUUCAGGAUUGAUGCCCCAGCUGAUUUCAGCUUCUGCUGUGAUCAAGAUUGUCCUAUUGCCUCUGUAUUAGAAAGAGACAAAGAAUGGACCAGUCGAGCUGAUUGGAAAAUUCUCUCAUGGUCACAUUCUCUGGUUGUCUCCACGUCUUUGGUGUAUAGAGACCAAUAAAGAGGACCCUGAAGUCAGGAGCUCAUGGGAGCAUCUCUGUGUAGGAGCAUUAAGUCCAGUAAACGACACACCCAAGCUGAUUCAAGCAUUUUCUAUGGUUUCUUCUGUGUGUUAAGAGCCUAGAGAUGAAUAAUGGACGCAUGCUGGUGGGUUUAAGCAUCUUGCACGGUCCUGUGCUCUAUAGACCAAUAAUGGAUGCACCUGAAUUGGCUAAGCAUUGACCAUGAUCAGGAACUCUGCUGGUUGUCCUGUGUAUAAGUACAUGUGGUCCAUAAUGGAUCUUCCAAGCUGAUUAAGAUCGUCAUGUUGCUCCCGUGUCAGGAAAGAGACAAAGGCCUCAGAAUGGACACACUUGAGCUGAUUUAAGCAUCUUCCAUGGGUACCAGGUCUACGGUUGCACCCGUGUGUUAGGAGCAUGCAGACCAAUGUUUUCCCUACACAUUCCUUAAUUGAUAACGAUGUAAGCUAUUUUCAUUAUGAGGACGGAGCACAUAGGAUACAAUGAAUGAACUGAACUGAUGCAAGCCUUUUGCCCUGGCUGUGAAUUCUGUAUUAGGAGCAAAGAGACCAAUGUACGUGGGGAGUUUCUUGCCUUUUUGGAGGUCUGAGGUCUUCCACCAGCAUUCAGUAGGUGUUCUGUAGCAGUUGUUCCACGUGUAGAUGUAUUUCUGAUGUAUUUGUGGGGAGGAAGGUGAUCUCCACGUCUUACUCUUCCACCAUCUUGAAGCUCCUCU